rnacentral:snRNA from 1 species
GUGCUUCGACAGCACAUAUACUAAAAUUGGAAUGAUACAGAGAAGAUUAGCAUGGCCCCUGCACAAGGAUGAUGCGCAAAUUUGUGAAGUGUUCCAUAUUUUU